GUUUUUGUCUUUUAUUUUUCUCAAAUCAAAUUAAAGAAAUUUAGAAUAUUUUCUUUUAAUCAAUAAUGUGUAUGGGUCUCUUUGUGAAGCCUAUGAUCAUGGGGCUAUAGAUUGUCCAUUGGGCUCAGCCCAAUGGUGCUCAACAGCUCCCCAACCCACCCCAAAGGAUCCCCAGCCAUUGAACCUGAGCCAAUCAAUUGGGUGCAUUAGUGUUUUUUCUCACAUUUCUAACAGUUAUUGCACAUGAAGGUCACAUCUAGGCUCUAUAAUUUCUUCCCACUUGAUUAAAUGAUUCCAAUCCAUGCCAAAAAAACUUCACCAAUGCUAUAGCUAAUAAGUUCGCAUGCAUAUACGCAUGCCUGGAGCUUUUCCAAACAAUUCUUCUAACGAAUCAGAAGUACACAAAUCCCUGUAUAGGAAGCCUAAAAUUGUUACUUCUCCAGGAUAAGUUUUUUGUAAAGAGCAAGGAUAUCUUUCUUCUUGGGAUACUUCAGCUUUUGCAAUUCACUACCUAAACCAUGUUCAUUAAGCUCUUGCCGCAGUUUCAUCACAGUUAAUUUGGUGUAGUCAGCUGAAGGAGCCUUCUGAUAUUCACUGUGUUCUUCAUUUCCCUUAAAAAUAGAAUAAACUUCUGUUGUUUUGCAUCUUUGCAGAGCUGAUGUGCUCGUAGGCAUUUCCGUUUCUGCAGCUAUUUCUUCAUAACUUCCUUCUUCAGCAGAAUAAAAACCCACAUCAGGAACUAGCCUUGAGCGUUUCCUACCAGAGUAUGUUCUCAGCCCAAAACCUGGUGCAGAUUCAUUUAAAUGGCCAGAAGCUAAUUUCUGCUGAAGUAAAUUUUGUCUUUCCUGCAUCGAUUCUAACUCGAAGGAAGGUGCUUUCUCCUUUCUUUUGUAUGCCUCUGCAUGUGCCGUAUGCUCAGACUCCAAACUACUCCCAAGGAUCUGAACUGAGCUUACACAUUGCUCAUACUUCUUUUUCAACAACUCUAUCUCUAGAUCUCUCUCUGACCAUUGCUUCUAGCGAAGCAACCUUAGACAUGGCAUAACCCUCAGAUGCAGCAGACCUCUCUACUUCACCUGUAGGAUCCAUCUUUUCUCUUUCCAAGAUCUCAUUAUAACAAUGUGCACUUCUAGUCUGGGCAAAUCUAUCUAUUGUGAGCUGUUGAGUGUCAUGCUUUUCAUUUUGAGAAGUUAGCACUUCUGAUUGUGCUGUUUCAAUGACCGCAUUUGCUAUCUUAAUUUCCUCUUCUACAGCUUUGCAUCUUUCAUGUGCUUCCUCAAAUCUUUUUAAUUCAGCAAGGUACUUCUGCUCCAGUUGGAUUUUGUCUUCUACCAGCGUCUGAGCUUCCCUCUCCAUUGAUUGAGCGGCAGCUUUGACGCACUCAUACUUUUCAGCUAAGUCUUUGAUUUGAAGCUUUAAAGCAGAUGAUUCUAAGUCAUAAUUUUUCAUCUUUGUUUCAGCAGCCGUCAAGUCCAAAGUCAAAGUGGUUAGUCUUUGCUCAGCCUCAUGAAGUUUAGCUACCUUCUCAUUGAUUUCUUCAUCCUUUUCUGCCAAACUGUGGGUGAAUUCAGCUCUCAGAGCUUCUUCUCUAAGUUUUGCCUCUUCAGCUGCCUUCUCUGCAGCAUCUUUGGCUUCAUUGACAGCAAUAUCACACUUCUGUUUCCAUUCAUUAGCCUCUUUCCAAGCCAGCCUAGAUUGUUCAACUGCAGCAGCAAUUCUUGCUUCUGCUUCACCAAUUCCAGACUCGAGAACUGCUGAUUUGGCAUUGUCAUUAAUUGUUCUUUUCUUGGUCAAAAUUGCUUCAUAUUUUCUUUCCCAUUCCACGGACUCCUGCUUUGCAGAAUCCAACAUUUCAAGUGAACUAGAACAUCUCUCCUCUAAUAUAUCGCACUUGUGCUCCAGCUCAAUUAUACGGCUCUUAUAUUGAUCAGAGAGCUUCGUGAAGUCCUUUAUGGCAUCUUCAUAAUACUUUUGACAUUCAGCUUUUAGCUUCUCACUUGCUUGCAGCUGCAUUUGAAGCAAAUCAAUCUUAUGUUCAAAUGAGUUACAUUUCACCAUGAAGGAGCUCUUCUCUGAAGAAACCUCAUCUAUCAGCUUCUUAGCAUGGUGGAGUAUUGGCCCUUGCAAACUAAAUACAACAUGAAAGUUAAGGCACAGGAUAACUUGGUUGUAGGAGACUUUAAAUGGCUAGGACGGCUUGGUUUCUAUUAGGGAAAUAAACUAAAUGGUUUAAAAUAUAAAAUAUCUAGAAAACUAAAUGGUUUAAAAUAUAAAAUAUCUAGAAUUCUUUCUUUUUCCCUGUUAUUAAAUAUAUAGAAUUGUUUGAGGCUAAAGAAUUUGAUAACUCUUAUGCCCAGGCAGCUCAAAUGAUGCAGUAAAAAUACAUGGGUAGAAAAAUAAAAAUUACUUUUUGGUGGAUAUUUUAAAUGCUUGAUCCUGGGAUAAUAGCUAGAGUCAUGGCACUCCAAACACAUAACCCAGAAGCAUUAGCUAUGCAACAAUCCAAGACAUUGGCGAUCUGGCUAUUCACCAGAGUAAAAGGACCAGAUUGCAAACAGUGGUUUAAUAUUUGCAAAGAAUCAACAGACGCUAACCUCUUCCGCAAAAAGGAGGACAGCUUCUGCCAUUUCAUUGGACCAUGAGCGGAUGCUUUAUACUCAGACAAAAGACCUUCAAGAACCAUAACAACAUUUUCCAUUUUGGCAUCAGCAACUAGGCAUGCUCCUUGCAAUUCUUUUUCCAUGCUUUGUAUAGCAUAUGAACAUUGUAAAUCUGCCUCCACAAAUGCAUCUCUUGCAUAGUCCUGCCAAUAGGAAGAUAUUUUGGGAAUGACAUCAUUGUUAAGAGUAUCCAAGAAAGAUUUUGUGAUGUCAGCAAGAAAAGGUCCUGACAUAACAGUACCUCCUACUUGCUUGGGCUUAGUUCUUUCGUAAACAAACUUUGUAAAUGCAUCAAGCCCAGAUAGAAAUUCUGGUCGAAAUUUGUCCAAUGAAACUCGGUCAAGAUGCUGAAGGUCAAUCUCAUUGUUCAAAGGACGGACAAGAGUAAAGCAUUCCCGAUUUGGAAAAACAGCUCGAAUGGACUCACGAAUCUGAUUUUUGGCACCAGUAUCCUUUCCACUACCCAGAACUGGCCUCAAGGCAAGCUCUAGGUAAUCACGAGGUGUUAUUUUUGUAUUAUCUUCAAUCAAGUCCAGGUAAAAAUCCCUUAAAAGCCACACGAAGACUGGAGAUAAGUUCCCAAGUUCAGAGAUUGAAUCCUUUCCUUCAGAGGCUCUACCAUGAAUAUGCUUACUCAUUUCAGUGAGAAGAGAGAGACGAUCAAGUGCAGC
rnacentral:misc_RNA from 1 species